UCUGUAGGCGCAAUUCGCCCAGAAAGCGGAGGGUGAUAGUUUAUAAUUAUUAUUCUUAUUCUCUGUUUUAUCGCGUUUCCGUUUUAAAUGCCGGGUGUGUGAGCGCGUCCUGGACCUCCUGUCAGCAUGGCCCCGGUGUGGGUCUGAAGCGGGCGCGCGAGCAUUCUGAAGCGGACAAAGUGAAAUGGAUCCCCGGAGCGCUGAACCUGUUCCAUCCCGCACACAAAGCCUGUGAAGCAGGCCGUGGUUUUUUUUUUCUCCCCUCACACAGAGACGCUGCGCAGAUGAUGCUCAAACAUGACGGGGAAUCAUUACAAAGGACACGAAGUCAGCUGCUGCAUCAAGUACUUCAUUUUUGGAUUCAAUAUCCUGUUUUGGCUGUUGGGCAUGGCCUUAGUUGGAAUUGGAUUGUGGGCAUGGAGUGAGAAGGGGGUUCUGUCCAACAUCUCAUCCAUCACAGACCUGGGGGGUCUGGAUCCAGUCUGGCUCUUCAUGGUGGUCGGGGGGGUCAUGUUCAUUCUGGGCUUCGCCGGAUGCAUCGGAGCGCUGCGAGAAAACACCUUUCUGCUUAAGUUUUUCUCUGUGUUUCUGGGAAUCAUCUUUUUCUUGGAGCUGACGACUGGAAUCCUGGCGUUUGUCUUUAAGGACUGGAUUAAAGACCAGCUCAACCUAUUCAUCAACAAUAACAUCCGGGCGUACCGGGAUGACAUCGAUCUACAGAACCUCAUAGAUUUCACUCAGGAAUAUUGGGAGUGCUGUGGUGCGUUUGGAGCAGAUGACUGGAACCUGAACAUCUAUUUUAACUGUACCGAUGGGAAUCCCAGUCGGGAAAAAUGUGGAGUUCCCUUCUCCUGCUGCACCAAGGACCCAGCGGAGGAUGUUAUAAACACUCAGUGUGGAUACGACAUUCGAGCUAAACCAGACUCGGAGCAGAAAGACUACAUCAACGUGAAAGGCUGCGUGCCGCAGUUUGAGAAGUGGCUUCAGGACAACCUCACCUUGGUGGCUGGGAUCUUCAUCGGUGUUGCACUGCUGCAGAUUUUUGGAAUUUGUUUGGCCCAAAACUUAGUGAGUGACAUCGAGGCUGUACGGGCAAGCUGGGUGCCCCCCCCUUUCUCCAUGCGUCGACUCCCACCACACUCCAGCAAGAAAGCAUCAGCUUACUACUCAUGAGACACACACACACGUCACGCAACGCUGUGUGUGUGUUUGUAGCCGUUUCUUUACCUAAUGCUGAAACAGCAUUUCAACUCUAACAGUGUUUGAACGCACCAGAACGUCAGGAGAGAGCAUUCAGAGGACGUCACUGAUCACCUGCACCAUUUCGUUCACUGAACCAGCACCUUUUUUUCCAAGGCACUAAUACGUGAACCGAUGCUCUGUAUAUAACACUGUGUGUGACUACUGUAAAAAAAAAAAGGUAACUGUUGGAAAGGAUGGUUAACAUGCACUACAUGCAGAUUUGUCACAGUGCUCCAAUUUUGAUAGCUACGUCUAGAGAGUAGGAGUUUUGAUACCUUUUUUUGAUAUUAGAUUGGUAUUUUUCACUGUAGAAAAUAAUGCUCCAUUGCUAAGCCCAUCAUAUUAGAACUGUGAAAUAGUGUACAAAACAAACUGAGGUGUAUUUUACGCACGUUUCCACCACAUGUCCAGGACUUCGUGAGGGUUUAGAUGAGCUAAAUAUUCUCCAAAUUACUUCAGCUGCUUAGCAUAACGACUUACUGCUCAGCUAAUGGACUGACACUUAAUGACGUGAUGGAGUCUUUCCCGUGACUAAAGGACCCAUUAGACUAAGACCAUGUAGCUCCAGCGUUACACUUACACAGUUACACUUUUCUUUUUUUUGUACUGACCGAAAUGUGUCGUCUGGUCUGUUGCGGCCGUUUGUGCUUAGACAUCAUUACACAUGUUAAACACUUUGGCUUCUGUUGUUAAAAGAAGAGAUUUGGACUCAGACUGCUAAAGUUCAUGUGGUAACUGAACUUGCUCUUGCACAGAACAAGGACUGUGGAUUUUGUCCCCCUAUGUCUUACAAUGUAUGCUCUAUAAAGAAGUCCUUUCAAGGUGACUAUGGAGAGUAGGAAUGAUUUUAGCAUCCAGAUACUGUUACAACUUCAAAAAAAUGAUAAAAAAUCAAAAUGAAUCCAUUCAAUGGAAAAUUUUUAUGGGUAAAUAUGUUUAUGGAAUUUAAAAAAAUAUGAAACCAGGAUUGAGAUACCUCACUGGCACUCAUAUUGAAUACCUGCAAUGGUCACUCAUUUUUCCAGGGUUAUUAUAACAGUCCUGAAGGUUUUGGAAAUGGGACUCUUAAAUCCUGUUUUUUUAAACCAUCUUUAAGGUUCAAGUCCUGAUACACAACAUUUAAUUGGCUGUCAUUUCAUAUUGUGGUGAGUUGAUGUUUUUCGCAGGACGUGUCAAAAACUUGGGAGUGGAACGUUUAGAACGAGGGGCCCGGGAACAAAUGAGUCGUCUCUGGUGUGGAACAGAAUAUUUUUCAUAUUGUGAAACAGACAUUUCUUACAUUACUGCACUUAGUUCAAUGAAAACAGACCUGGCACAUGUGUCCUAUGAUUUGUCUUUCACUGUGUGCUUUUUGAUGCAGAUCACAGCAGUACACAUAAUAACAGAACUUAACCGAGUCUUUAAAUCUAGCCCAGAUAUAAAAUGUUUUUUUGUUUUUUUUUUAAAGUGUUGGCAUAUAUGUAUUUUUUAAUCAGUGUUUCUUCUGACAGUUUAAAGUGAUUAUUCCCAGUUCCAAUUAUUUUGUCUGUAAAAUCGGUUCAAAUUCACAACGUGGGGCAUCAGAUGGGACACAUUCUGAAAAUGUGUGUUAAGCUACUUAAAAGGGAUCGACACUGUUUUUGAUACUUAUUAUUUCCUGUAUAUUUGAGUUGGUUUUUAUAAUUUCCUCAAACAUUUAGUACCACUGACUGUUUGUGCCCAGCUUUAGGAGGUUGUAACUAAAUGAGGAGUUCUCUCACUCAUCACUACCUGUUCACUUCCACUCAUUGUUUAUAUGAUCACAAUAAGCUAAUGAGCCGGAACAUUAAGAUCACAUCUGCCUAAUAAACUGUUGUUACUACUGUUGGUACACCAA